AAUGCCAGGUUGUUGAGGUGGGAGUGGGUGGGUGGGAGUGGGAGCAAUUUCACAGAAGCUGGGGGAUUGGGGAGGGGUUAUAGGAGAGGGAGAGAAAGUGGAUAACAUUUGAAAUAUUACAUUGACUUGAAAGGCCAAAGAAAAAACGUAAUGAAUCGGUUGAAUGCUUAUGGGAGAGGAAUGGAAGACGAUGGCAUGGUUGACUACACCAGUACAAGAGACCGUCUGGCAAAUAUCCUCUUCUAAAAGCACGAGCUGUUUUCCUGGCCAAAGGGCACCUUCCAUCAACCUCCAAAACAGAACCACUGUGUUCAGUCAACAGCUUCCCUAGUGUUAAGAAAAGAGAAAUUGUGUAUUAAUAAAACUGGACCAAGACCUGUAACAAAACCUAAGUAAAUCAAGAAAAUACAAA